AUUGAACGCUGGCGGCAUGCUUUACACAUGCAAGUCGAACGGUAACAGGCCGCAAGGUGCUGACGAGUGGCGAACGGGUGAGUAAUGCAUCGGAACGUGCCCAGUCGUGGGGGAUAACGCAGCGAAAGCUGUGCUAAUACCGCAUACGAUCUAUGGAUGAAAGCGGGGGACCGUAAGGCCUCGCGCGAUUGGAGCGGCCGAUGUCAGAUUAGGUAGUUUGUGGGGUAAAGGCCUACCAAGCCGACGAUCUGUAGCUGGUCUGAGAGGACGACCAGCCACACUGGGACGGAGACACGGCACAGACUCCUACGGGAGGCAGCAGUGGGGAAUUUUGGACAAUGGGCGCAAGCCUGAUCCAGCAAUGCCGCGUGCAGGAAGAAGGCCUUCGGGUUGUAAACUGCUUUUGUACGGAACGAAACGGUCUGGGUUAAUACCCUGGGCUAAUGACGGUACCGUAAGAAUAAGCACCGGCUAACUACGUGCCAGCCGCCGCCGUAAAAC
rnacentral:rRNA from 1 species